rnacentral:rRNA from 1 species
CUACGGGUCGCACCAGUGAGGAAUAUUGCACAAUGGGGGGAACCCUGAUGCAGCAACGCCGCGUGGAGGAUGACGCAUUUCGGUGUGUAAACUCCUUUUAUAUGUCAAGAAAAUGACGGUAGCAUAUGAAUAAGCACCGGCUAACUCCGUGCCAGCAGCCGCGGUAAUACGGAGGGUGCAAGCGUUACUCGGAAUCACUGGGCGUAAAGGACGCGUAGGCGGGUUGGAAAGUCAGGUGUGAAAUCCUACAGCUUAACUGUAGAACUGCACUUGAAACUUCUAAUCUAGAGUAUGGGAGGGGGAGAUGGAAUUAGUGGUGUAGGGGUAAAAUCCGUAGAUAUCACUAGGAAUACCUAAAGCGAAGGCGAUCUCCUGGAACAUUACUGACGCUAAGGCGUGAAAGCGUGGGGAGCAAACAGGAUUAGAUACCCUCGUAGUC